CUACACGCGUCUGCGCGUGAACUCCAUUUCCCAGCGCGCACCGCGUCGCGCGAUGUUUCCCACAGCUGACAGACAGCGCGCGGACGCUCGCAGCUGAACGCGCAGCUCGCACGACGCGCUCGCCCGCGCUCGGAUUUGGGAUUACCCGCAACCACAAACCGUCAUUUCUCCGGAGGAGUUCAUACGAACGGGAGCUGUGCCGUCUGAUGGCACGCAUCUGUAGCGCGCGUGGAUCGUUUAAUCGCUCGUAGUGUGUCGAUCAUCCACUGGAGCCCGAUGCAGUGGGAUGGAUGGUGUUAGACUGGGAUUGAUGAUGAUGGUGGAGGAGAGUGAUGAACAGAGGGACCGCGGCGGCGGCGGCGCGCUUCACCAGUGCGAGCUCAUUCAGAACAUGAUCGACAUCUCCAUCUCCAGUUUGCAAGGGCUGCGGACCAAAUGCGCCGCGUCCAACGAUCUCACACAGCAAGAGAUCCGCACUUUAGAGGUCAAGCUCAUGAAGUACAUCUGUAAACAACUGCAGUGCAAGCAGAAGGUGCCAGACACAGAGCGGCCGGCGGCCCUGGACAGCUACCCACGAUUGGUAGACUGGUUACGCACCAUCAACAUCAGACCUGAGCUUAUAGAGGCAGUGAGCAAGAAGCUGUCAUUGGAUGCUCUGCUGCAGAUGCCCAGCAGUCAGGUGCAGGAAACCAUGAGAAGGCUGGGCUCGAGUUCAGGGGAGUGUACCCGACUAUGUGCUGCUCUUAACUGUUUGAAGAGUGCCUCUGAGUCCGGGGAGUUUAAAGAGGAAAGCCAUUGCUGGUUCUCCGAACCCACGAGGCGGGACAGUGGCGGUUUGACUCCGGUGGAUCAGAUGCCGUUACUAGGAACUUCCCUACGUUCCCACAGUCCAUCACCUUUGGUCCGCCCCCCAACCACCCCCUCCACCCCUCUUGCCACCUGCCUGUAUCCCCGCUACAUCCUAUCACCCAGUGAACCUCAUAUUUCUCACGGUUACGCUGAGAGUCUGACCGACCCCAGUCCUUAUUAUACCUCUCGACCCGUUCGACUCCACGGACACACCUCGACUCCGCCCAUAACCCCGCCCUCGAGGAGAAGGCACCGCCUUAAGCCUCCGUGCACACCCCCUCCCCCCUCACGCAAAGUUUUGCACCUCCUUCCCAACAUCACGAUGACCCGCAGCAAGAGUCACGAGAGCCAGCUCGGACACCGCAUCGAAGACACGCCCACAAACAAGUGUGUAAAGAAGAACAAGCUGUUUAUCAACGUUCAGAUUAAUGGAAACGGAUGUGAAGACCCCUCGACGCGUUCGCCCACCCUCUCCAUCCGGACCCCCUUGGCGACACCCACGACGGCCCCGUACACCCUGCCGGGCACCCCAACCCUUCAGGAGGAGUACAGCGGCCUGAGAAAUAAUGUGAGCGUCCACCGCAAUUCACCUCAGGCGUUGCGAAGAGACAUCGGUCUGGCUGUCACUCACAGGUUCUCUACAAAAUCUUGGCUUUCUCAGACGUGUCAGGUGUGUCAGAAGAACAUGAUCUUCGGAGUAAAGUGUAAACACUGCAGGUUAAAGUGUCACAACAAAUGCACAAAAGAAGCUCCAUCCUGCAGGAUCUCCUUCCUUCCCAUCACAAAGAUUCGCAGGACAGAAUCUGUACCAUCUGAUAUCAACAAUCCUGUGGACCGUCCACCUGAAGCGCCGCAGUUUGGGACGCUGCCAAAGGCAAUAACAAAGAAGGAUCAGCCGCCUGUGCUGAAUCAACUGGAUUCCAGCAGUAAUCCGUCCUCCACAACAUCCUCUACGCCUUCUUCUCCCGCCCCCUUCCAUCAGAGCAACCCCCCUAGCGUAACCCCGCCCCCAAACCCCUCCCCUAAGGGUCACCGUGACAACCGUUUCCACUUUCCAGCUGCCUGUUAUUUUCAGCACAGACAGCAGUUUAUCUUCCCUGAUGUUUGCAAUACCAGUGUACUUCAUUCAGAUGUGCUACCAGAUACGGUUAAUGAGAUCGAUGCUUCAGAAGAGGAGAUGCACGCAGAACAAGAUGAGGAAGAAGAUCGUGAGGAGCUGGAAGAGGAAGAAGAGGAAAUCGAGGCAGAAGAGGAAGAUGAUGUAGCUGUGGAUGAGGAAGACGAAGAGGUCGAGGAAGAAGAGGAUAUGGAGGAACUGCUUGCUGGCUCCGAGGGAGAAUGCGAAGGCGACGAGCUGGACGACCUGCCCAGCACGCAUGGAGGAACGCACUGGAGAGGUCCGAUCUCUCGUAAGGCCAGUCAGACCAGCGUCUAUCUGCAGGAGUGGGACAUUCCAUUCGAACAGCUGGACCUGGGGGAGCUCAUCGGCAAGGGCCGAUGGGGUCGGGUUCAUCACGGUCGCUGGCACGGAGAGGUGGCUAUUCGGCUCCUGGAGAUCGAUGGCAACAACCAGGACCACUUGAAGCUUUUCAAGAAGGAGGUGAUGAACUACAGACAGACGCGUCACGAAAACGUCGUCCUGUUUAUGGGAGCGUGCAUGGCCCCUCCUCAUCUCGCCAUUAUUACCAGCUUCUGCAAAGGCCGGACGUUGUAUUCGGUUGUCAGAGACACAAAAAACACACUGGACAUCAAUAAGACUCGACAAAUCGCACAGGAAAUCGUGAAGGGAAUGGGCUACCUUCACGCUAAGGGAAUCGUCCACAAGGAUCUUAAAUCGAAAAAUGUCUUUCACGACACAAACAAAGUUAUCAUCACCGAUUUUGGUCUUUUUGGGAUCUCCGGUGUGGUUCAGGAGGGCCGACGGGAAAACGAGUUGAAACUUCCUCACGGUUGGAUCUGCUACCUGGCUCCGGAAAUCGUGCGCAAGAUGAGUCCGGGAAACAACGAGGACAGACUUCCGUUUUCUAACGCUGCUGAUGUUUAUGCUUUCGGCACCAUCUGGUAUGAGCUGCAGGCCAGAGACUGGCCCAUCACCAGUCAACCUGUUGAGGCCACCAUCUGGCAGGUGGGCAGUGGAGAGGGCAUCAGAAGGGUCCUGGCUGAGAUGAAUUUAGGAAAGGAGGUCACGGAGAUUCUGUCCGCCUGCUGGUCGUACGACUCUCGUAAUCGACCCACGUUCACCCAGCUGGCAGACAUGCUGGAGAAGCUGCCCAAGCUGAACCGACGACUGUCUCACCCUGGACACUUCUGGAAGUCUGCAGAGUACGUAUCCUAGUCUGGGACACAGUUUUAAGAGAGGAUAUACAGUACAGGUGACGAAACGGACGAAAGUGGAAACAACCGUAGAGAUGACCUCGAAAGUUAUUGCCGUGUAUCAGUUUUCUAAUAUUGCUUGUCCAGUUGUUUCUUCACCAGGUUGUAGCUGUGUGCCUGCAACAAUGUGCAAUGCAAAACCCUCAAACCCUGGCUCUGCCUUGCAUGCCUGCUGAACGCCUGACCUCUCCUGGACUCACAAAACUAACCAUCGUCUGCUCUUCCGUCUCUAACUCUUAACUUUCGGUUCGGUGGGUUUUGGUGGUGGGCGGCUAUCGAGGAGUCGAGUGAAAUGAAAGGCUUUGCCUUUUUAUUCCCUGUUCAUUUUCUUGUGUGAAGUGCACAACUGGUUUUUCUCUUCCUCUCCUGCUCUGGUUUGUGACGUCAUGUGACACGUUUCCUGUUGGAUUUAUUGAAGAUUUACACCAAGCACCUCUGCUUUCCUUCAGUCUCUUUCUCUCUCUCACUCUCUUUCGUGGUCUUGGUGCCUCUUAGUCCUGUGUGAUGUGGGAUUCUGUCUCUGAUUGGACCGUCUGGUUCAUGCUUUAGUUCACACCUUUAGUUCUCACACUUCCUCCACAGUGUCUGACACAAAUAAUAAUUCUGUUUUUAAGAGAGAAAUAUUUGUUUCCUAACCAGGCGUUAACCAAACUAUCGGUCAACUCAUGCAGCCUAGUUUAUUUGAUGUUUUAUGUCGAGCAAUGAGAUAUCACGGUGGUCGGGCUUCACAGCGUAACAUCACAGAAACCAUGUAAUCGCCGAAACAUCCCGUUCCUUAUUGCUUGACGUGGUGACAACUGAUAAGAUAGAUAAAAAUGUAAAUUCAGAUUUACUGUACUACUUUAUUGUGUUAUGCCUGGUUUAGGAUGUGUUGUGAGGGUCUGUCCAGUGUAUUUUUAUUAAAUGUAAAAACUGACAGCUUUCCGAACCUGAUGAGAUUUAAAUGGGAUAUAACGUUCACCUUUGCCCUCUUUAAGUUAUUAUAUCUGGCACGGAUGAGCCAAAGAGAAGCGUGUAUGUCUUCUCAUCUGAACGAUGGAUGGGUCCUGAAGUUGAACAGUGGUUCAUAAUGAAUUGUGUAUACAUGCGUUUGUGUGUAACAUGCGUGUUUGUAACGUUGUGAAUGUGAAAGGGUGCGUGUUUGUUUGUUUGUUCUGUAUAAGACUGGAUUUUGUGGUUUGGAAAUGUGAAUGACAUGUAAAAUAUUUAUGUAUAAAUAUGGUUUAUUUAUUGUACAGUCAAUGAACAGAAUUCUUUAAUAUUUAAAUGGACAUUUUAUAUUAAUAUAAAUAUAUAUAUAUACUGUACAUCAUGACAUUUUUGAAUAGGUAUUGCUGUCCUAUCCCAGAUGUAAAUAUUCUUUAUAUUUUUUCAUGUAAAAUAACAAAAACAAACCUGUAAAGCAAACUUUUUCUAAAAUGGGUCGAUACAUGUCAUAUUUUUGUAUUGCAUGUGGCUACUGUACACAGUGUCUGUUUUCAUCCUUGAAAGACAAUAAAACCAAGCUUGUCACGUGAAUUAUAUUAGUACGUUUUAUAAAAA